rnacentral:piRNA from 1 species
GUUAGCUGUAACACUGGGGUGUUAG